UAGCUCAGUUGGUAAAGAGUCUGCCUGCAAUGCUGGAGACCCAGGUUCGAUUCCUGG
rnacentral:tRNA from 1 species